UACGUAGGGUGCGAGCGUUAAUCGGAAUUACUGGGCGUAAAGCGUGCGCAGGCGGUUCGUUGUGUCUGAUGUGAAAGCCCCGGGCUCAACCUGGGAAUGGCAUUGGAAACUGGCGAGCUAGAGUGUGGCAGAGGGGGGUGGAAUUCCGCGUGUAGCAGUGAAACGCGUAGAGAUGCGGAGGAACACCGAUGGCGAAGGCAGCCCCCUGGGCUAGCACUGACGCUCAGGCACGAAAGCGUGGGGAGCAAACAGG
rnacentral:rRNA from 1 species